AUUGAACGCUGGCGGCAUGCCUUACACAUGCAAGUCGAACGGUAACAGGUCUUCGGAUGCUGACGAGUGGCGAACGGGUGAGUAAUACAUCGGAACGUGCCUAGUAAUGGGGGAUAACUACUCGAAAGAGUGGCUAAUACCGCAUGAGAUCUACGGAUGAAAGCAGGGGAUCGCAAGACCUUGUGCUACUGGAGCGGCCGAUGGCAGUUUAGGUAGUUGGUGGGAUAAAAGCUUACCAAGCCGACGAUCUGUAGCUGGUCUGAGAGGACGAUCAGCCACACUGGGACUGAGACACGGCCCAGACUCCUACGGGAGGCAGCAGUGGGGAAUUUUGGACAAUGGGCGAAAGCCUGAUCCAGCAAUGCCGCGUGCAGGAUGAAGGCCUUCGGGUUGUAAACUGCUUUUGUACGGAACGAAAAGCCCCGGGUUAAUACCCUGGGGUCAUGACGGUACCGUAAGAAUAAGCACCGGCUAACUACGUGCCAGCCGCCGCUGUAA
rnacentral:rRNA from 1 species